rnacentral:rRNA from 1 species
CCUACGGGAGGCAGCAGUGGGGAAUAUUGCGCAAUGGGCGAAAGCCUGACGCAGCGACGCCGCGUGAGGGAUGAAGGUCUUCGGAUCGUACACCUCUGUCAGCAGGGACGAACGGUCACUGUGCUAAUCAGCAGUGCAUUGACGGUACCUGCAACGGAAGCCCCGGCUAACUCCGUGCCAUCAGCCGCGGUAAUACGUAGGGUGAUAGCGUUAAUCGGAAUUACUGGGCGUAAAGCGCUCGUAGGCGGUAUGUCAAGUCAAGGGUGAAAUCCCCGGGCUCAACGUGGGAACUGCCUUUGAAACUGGCAAACUGGAGUGUGUGAGAGGAGAGUGGAAUUCCAGGGGUAGGAGUGAAAUCCGUAGAUAUCUGGAGGAACAUCAGUGGCGAAGGCGACUAUCUGGCACAUAACUGACGCUGAGGAGCGAAAGCGUGGGUAGCAAACAGGAUUAGAUACCCUGGUAGUC